rnacentral:rRNA from 1 species
AUUGAACGCUGGCGGCAGGCCUAACACAUGCAAGUCGAGCGGAUGAAGGGAGCUUGCUCCUGGAUUCAGCGGCGGACGGGUGAGUAAUGCCUAGGAAUCUGCCUGGUAGUGGGGGGUAACGUCCGGAAACGGGCGCUAAUACCGCAUGCGUCCUGAGGGAGAAAGUGGGGGAUCUUCGGACCUCACGCUAUCAGAUGAGCCUAGGUCGGAUUAGCUAGUUGGUGGGGUAAAGGCCUACCAAGGCGACGAUCCGUAACUGGUCUGAGAGGAUGAUCAGUCACACUGGAACUGAGACACGGUCCAGACUCCUACGGGAGGCAGCAGUGGGGAAUAUUGGACAAUGGGCGAAAGCCUGAUCCAGCCAUGCCGCGUGUGUGAAGAAGGUCUUCGGAUUGUAAAGCACUUUAAGUUGGGAGGAAGGGCAGUAAGUUAAUACCUUGCUGUUUUGACGUUACCAACAGAAUAAGCACCGGCUAACUUCGUG